CAAUCCAUGAGUAAAGUGGCGACCGGGUGAGUAACACGUGACUACCUACCCUUGAGUGGGGGAUAACCUCGGGAAACCGAGGCUAAUACCGCAUAAUAUCGAAAGAUCAAAGGAGAAAUCCGCUUUUGGAGGGGGUCGCGGCUGAUUAGCUAGUUGGUAGGGUAAUGGCCUACCAAGGCGAAGAUCGGUAUCCGGCCUGAGAGGGCGCACGGACACACUGGAACUGAAACACGGUCCAG
rnacentral:rRNA from 1 species